UGAGUUCUUCCAACAUAAACACGUAGGCAACUAUUAGCCCUGCCCCACCUUCUGGUGGCACUCAGACACAGGGCUCCAACAAUAUAAGACGUCCCACUAAUAUCCCUAAUGGUCAGGCUGUCCGUUCCCAUGGGGGUCGUCGUUGACUCUUUUCAAUUCCAUUUUCAGAUCAUCAGGUGCCAGUUAUAUAUAUACACCCACACCCACACAUACACAUAUUGACGCGAUAUGGGUUGAUCAAGAAUAAGGGGAUACAUAGUACAUUCUAUCAUGAUUCGCUAGCAAGAAUAAAAAUACUAUAAAGAUUAUUAUUCAACUUUUUUUCGUUUUCGUUUUUGUUUUUGAGUCUAGGGCUUGAUUUGUUGUGCUAA